rnacentral:rRNA from 1 species
GUAGGGGGCAAGCGUUGUCCGGAUUUAUUGGGCGUAAAGCGCUCGCAGGUGGUUCGUCGCGUCGUGCGUGAAAGACCCCGGCUCAACUGGGGGGUGUCGUGCGAUACGGGCGGACUGGAGGCCAGUAGGGGGAUGCGGAAUUCCGGGUGUAGUGGUGGAAUGCGUAGAGAUCCGGAGGAACACCAGCGGCGAAGGCGGCAUCCUGGACUGGUCCUGACACUCAGGAGCGAAAGCGUGGGGAGCGAUCCGGAUUAGAUACCCGGGUAGUCCACGCCGUAAACGAUGAGGACUAGGUGUCGGGGGUAUCGACCCCCUCGGUGCCGCAGCUAACGCGAUAAGUCCUCCGCCUGGGGACUACGGCCGCAAGGCUAAA